rnacentral:rRNA from 1 species
GGUUAAGCGACUAAGCGUACACGGUGGAUGCCCUGGCAGUCAGAGGCGAUGAAGGACGUGCUAAUCUGCGAUAAGCGUCGGUGAGGUGAUAUGAACCGUUAUAACCGGCGAUUUCCGAAUGGGGAAACCCAGUGUGUUUCGACACACUAUCAUUAACUGAAUCCAUAGGUUAAUGAGGCGAACCGGGGGAACUGAAACAUCUAAGUACCCCGAGGAAAAGAAAUCAACCGAGAUUCCCCCAGUAGCGGCGAGCGAACGGGGAGGAGCCCAGAGCCUGAAUCAGUGUGUGUGUUAGUGGAAGCGUCUGGAAAGGCGCGCGAUACAGGGUGACAG